AACGCGAAGAACCUUACCUGGGCUCGAAAUGCAGUGGAUCGGGGUAGAAAUAUCCCUUCCCCUUAAAAGGCUGCUGCAUAGGUGCUGCAUGGCUGUCGUCAGCUCGUGUCGUGAGAUGUUGGGUUAAGUCCCGCAACGAGCGCAACCCUUAUCCCUAGUUGCCAUCGGGUCAAGCCGGGCACUCUAGUGAAACCGCCCCGGAUAACGGGGAGGAAGGUGGGGAUGACGUCAAGUCCUCAUGGCCUUUAUGUCCAGGGCUACACACGUGCUACAAUGGUCGGUACAAACCGUCGCAAACCCGCGAGGGGGAGCUAAUCGGAAAAAGCCGGCCUCAGUUCGGAUUGGAGUCUGCAACUCGACUCCAUGAAGCUGGAAUCGCUAGUAAUCGCGGAUCAGAACGCCGCGGUGAAUACGUUCCCGGGCCUUGUA
rnacentral:rRNA from 1 species